UACGGAGGGUGCAAGCGUUGUCCGGAUUUAUUGGGUUUAAAGGGUGCGUAGGCGGCCCGUUAAGUCAGUGGUGAAAGCCUCCAGCUCAACUGGAGACUGCCAUUGAUACUGACGGGCUUGAGUACAGACGAGGUAGGCGGAAUUGAUUGUGUAGCGGUGAAAUGCAUAGAUACAAUCAAGAACACCGAUUGCGUAGGCAGCUUACUAGGCUGUAACUGACGCUGAGGCACGAAAGCGUGGGGAGCGAACAGG
rnacentral:rRNA from 1 species